rnacentral:rRNA from 1 species
GAUGAACGCUGGCGGCGUGCCUAAUACAUGCAAGUCGAGCGAACGGACGAGAAGCUUGCUUCUCUGAUGUUAGCGGCGGACGGGUGAGUAACACGUGGAUAACCUACCUAUAAGACUGGGAUAACUUCGGGAAACCGGAGCUAAUACCGGAUGAUAUUUUGAACCGCAUGGUUCAAAAGUGAAAGACGGUCUUGCUGUCACUUAUAGAUGGAUCCGCGCUGCAUUAGCUAGUUGGUAAGGUAACGGCUUACCAAGGCAACGAUGCAUAGCCGACCUGAGAGGGUGAUCGGCCACACUGGAACUGAGACACGGUCCAGACUCCUACGGGAGGCAGCAGUAGGGAAUCUUCCGCAAUGGGCGAAAGCCUGACGGAGCAACGCCGCGUGAGUGAUGAAGGUCUUCGGAUCGUAAAACUCUGCUAUUAGGGAAGAACAUAUGUGUAAGUAACUGUGCACAUCUUGACGGUACCUAAUCAGAAAGCCACGGCUAACCACGUG